rnacentral:rRNA from 1 species
GCCACUGCUAUUGGGGUUCGGCUAAGCCAUGCGAGUGGAGGGCGUCCCGCAAGGGAUGGCCCCGCAGACGGCUCAGUAACACGUCGUCAACCCACCUUAGGGUGGGGGACAACCUCGGGAAACUGAGGAUAAUCCCCCAUAGGCGGGGGAGGCUGGAAUACGCCCCCGCUGAAAGCUCAGGCGCCCUAGGACGGGACGGCGGCCUAAUCAGGUAGUUGGUGGUGUGACG